rnacentral:rRNA from 1 species
GAUGAACGCUGACAGAAUGCUUAACACAUGCAAGUCUUUGGCGAAGCUGUGCUUGCACAGCCUAGCCAAGGCGGACGGGUGAGUAACGCGUAAGGAACUUGCCCUGCAGUCAGGGAUAACAGACGGAAACGACUGAUAAGACCUGGUAAAGUCAGGCGGACUCAUGUCCAGCCUGAUGAAAAGAGAUGCUGCAGGAGAGCCUUGCGUCCUAUUAGCUUGUUGGUGGGGUAACGGCCCACCAAGGCGAUGAUAGGUAGCCGGCCUGAGAGGGUGGACGGCCAAAAGGGGACUGAGAUGCGGCCCUUACUCCUACGGGAGGCAGCAGUGGGGAAUAUUGGACAAUGGGGGCAACCCUGAUCCAGCAAUUCUGUGUGCACGAUGAAGGUUUUCGGAUUGUAAAGUGCUUUCAGCGGGGAAGAAAAAAAUGACGGUACCUGCAGAAGAAGCGACGGCUAAAUACGUG